UUCUUUUUUAACUUGAGCUUCUACUUGCCACCUUUUUGGGUUGGUGAGAAUGAUAAGAGUUAUUCCUACAACUACAUCUGAUUUCUUCUCAGUUAAGUGGUAAAACAUUAUUACAUUGGUAAGGCUCAUCAUAAAGGUAUUAUAAUCAAAUAGAAAUAUCAUUCUGUUUUCAUGCUCAAAGAAGUACCACCCAGGAAAGGAAAACUGGAAUAUGUACAAUCUUCAUUCUAAGAAAACCAGCUGAUUUAUCAGAUAUAAGUCUGAGAUUUAAAUGCAGAUGCUCCAGAGAAAGCCAAAACCCAUUUAAACUCAGGAAUCACAAGGAGUCUGUUCAGUCCUGUGCUCCACGUAGAAAUAAAAACUCUGGUUCAACUUCUUAUUCCCAGAAGAGACUCCCCAGUCAAAAGGCUCAAACAAAUCAACAGCCUCCUGAACCUGUCAACAGACUUUCUAAAAGGGACUUCUGUCUCAGGGUCCUGAAGUAACUGGCUGAUGUAGCUUCCAAGCCACUCUAUAUCAUAACUCACCAGUCAAGGCUGUCAGGCAACAUCCCUGUGAUUGCAAAAAGGGCAACAUGGCUCUCAUUUACAAGAAAGGGAGAAAGGAAGACCCAGGGAAAAACAGAUUCCUCCCCAUUUUCAGGCUGCAGUGG
rnacentral:lncRNA from 1 species